rnacentral:rRNA from 1 species
UACGAAGGGUGCAAACGUUGCUCGGAAUUAUUGGGCGUAAAGCGCACGUAGGCGGCAUAGCAAGUCGGAUGUGAAAUCCCUCGGCUUAACCAAGGAAGUGCAUCCGAAACUGCUGUGCUUGAGUACUUAAGAGGAUCGCGGAAUUCCCGGUGUAGAGGUGAAAUUCGUAGAUAUCGGGAGGAACACCAGUGGCGAAGGCGGUUCUCUGGGACGGUACUGACGCUGAGACGCGAAAGCGUGGGGAGCGAACAGG